CAGCGCUAUAAAUACCGGCGCACUCCAUUCUGCGCUCCCUCAUUUGGCGAUGUCGCAGUGGAGGAGAGACAGAACAUAUGAAAAUGAGAAAAUCAGAUGGCUACAAGAAGGUGGCUGAAUGUGGUACUCUGAGCAGAUGAAGACUGUCCAGCUGAUGUCACACAUGACCCCAAAAUACCUUCAUCCCAAUGGCCAGGUGUGUUGAGAAAGG